CCCGCUGAACUUAAGCAUAUCAAUAAGCGGAGGAAAAGAAACCAACAGGGAUUGCCCCAGUAACGGCGAGUGAAGCGGCAAGUGCUCAAAUUUGAAAUCCGGUCCCCCCGGGGGCCCGAGUUGUAAUUUGCAGAGGAUGCUUCGGCGAGGACGCCGGCCCAAGUCCCCUGGAACGGGACGUCGCAGAGGGUGAGAACCCCGUCCGGCCGCGCGACCAAGCUGUGUGAUGCUCCUUCGACGAGUCGAGUUGUUUGGGAAUGCAGCUCAAAAUGGGUGGUAAAUUCCAUCUAAGGCUAAAUACCGGCCAGAGACCGAUAGCGCACAAGUAGAGUGAUCGAAAGAUGAAAAGCACUUUGAAAAGAGAGUUAAACAGCACGUGAAAUUGUUGAAAGGGAAGCGCUUGCUGCCAGACCCUUCCGCGACUGCUCCGCCGGCCACCGGCCGGCUCACUCUUUCACGGCGAGGGCCAGCAUCGGUUCGGGUGGUUGGAUAAAGGCCCGGGGAAAGUGACCCUUCGGGGUGUUAUAGCCCCGGGUGCAAUGCGACCCGCCCGGACCGAGGGACGCGAGUUUCCAGGAUGCUGGCGUAAUGGUUGCAAGCGGCCCGUCUUGAAACACGG
rnacentral:rRNA from 1 species